AUUUACAUAGCUUAUAAAUUAGAGCAUAGUAUUGAAGCUACUAAGGAAAAAUUUUUGUGAAUA
rnacentral:tRNA from 1 species